CCCGCGGAACCGACAUAGGCAAGAAGUGUACCUUUGGUUCACAGUUUCACAGUUUUCAUUGAUAACGUGUAACGAAUAGUAAAUCAGUGAUCGAAAAUAUCAAGAUUCAAGGAAUGACACCAACAGGGAAUCGAGGUUACUGUGGAACUGGCUUGGAGCUGCUGGCAAGUGAACUCGGUUGGAGUGCUAAAGUCUUGUUACAGAAGCUCGCGGCCGUAAGUCAGCCCACAAAGUAGCUGCUUGAAGCGGCGCCUUAACGACGCAAGAAAAGGGGUGUGCUAACCGACGCCACGAAAAUUUCGGUGCCCGGCGUCGAAUUUAAUACAUUUCGAAUUUAAUAUUCGCCGGCCGUACCAGAAGAAGGAACCACCAGGACCGGCCAGGCGCGGACAAACGAGCCGAAAUAAAACGGCGGACGUCUCCUUUAGAAAAUUUGCAUGCACUUUGUGCUCCGAAGUGCCGGAAACCCGAAUAAGCCGAGAAAAGGGAGGGAAAAAGAAAGAAAGAGAAAGAGAGAGAAAGAGAGAGAGUGGCCGGGUAUACAUCUGUAUAUACCAACGGUCACACCUGUAAAUCCCUUUCGGGCCCAUUGAAAUCUCGGACGCCCGCGGAGAUGAUUUUUACGGGUCGUGCGCUC